AACCUCCGCAAUGUGAGAAAUCGCGACGGGGGGAUCCCAAGUGCCAUUCUUAACGGGAUGGCUCUUCAUUAGUGUAAAGAGCUUUUGGAAUAAGAGCUGGGCAAGACCGGUGCCAGCCGCCGCGGUAACACCGGCAGCUCUAGUGGUAACAAUUUUUAUUGGGCCUAAAGCGUCCGUAGCCGGUUUAAUAAGUCUCUGGUGAAAUCCUGUAGCUUAACUGUGGGAAUUGCUGGAGAUACUAUUAGACUUGAGACCGGGAGAGGUUAGAGGUACUCCCAGGGUAGAGGUGAAAUUCUGUAAUCCUGGGAGGACCGCCUGUUGCGAAGGCGUCUAACUGGAACGGUUCUGACGGUGAGGGACGAAAGUUAGGGGCGCGAACCGGAUUAGAUACCCGGGUAGUCCUAACUGUAAACGAUGCGGACUUGGUGUUGGGUGGCUUUGAGCUGCUCCAGUGCCGAAGGGAAGCUGUUAAGUCCGCCGCCUGGGAAGUACGGUCGCAAGACUGAAACUUAAAGGAAUU
rnacentral:rRNA from 1 species